CGAUCACAUCACGUUGAAAUACUGGUCACCGAAAGUUAAGCAACAUUGAGCCUGGUCAGUACCUAGAUGGGUGACCGCUUGGGAAUACCAGGUGCUGUAAG